rnacentral:rRNA from 1 species
AUACGGAGGGUGCGAGCGUUACUCGGAGUCACUGGGCGUAAAGCGUCCGUAGGCGGUCGGGUAAGUCGGGUGUGAAAGCCCCGGGCUCAACCUGGGAAGUGCACCCGAUACUGCUCGACUCGAGUGCGGGAGAGGAUGGCGGAAUUCCCGGUGUAGCGGUGAAAUGAGUAGAGAUCGGGACGAACACCAGUGGCGAAGGCGGCCGUCUGGCCCGCAACUGACGCUGAGGGACGAAAGCGUGGGGAGCAAACAGGAUUAGAUACCCUUGUAGUCC